GUAGGGGGGGCGAGCGUUGUCCGAAUUUACUGGGCGUAAAGCGCGCGUAGGCGGACCUUUAAGUUGGGUGGGUGAAAUGCCGAGGCUCAACCUCGGAACUGCCUUCAAAACUGGAGGUCUGGAGGUAUGGAGAGGGAAGUGGAAUUCCUGGUGUAGCGGUGAAAUGCGUAGAUAUCAGGAGGAACACCUGUGGCGAAGGCGACUUCCUGGCCAUAUCCUGACGCUGAGGUGCGAAAGCUAGGGUAGCGGACGGGAUUAGAUACCCCGGUAGUCCUAGCCGUAAACGAUGGAUACUAGGUGUUAUAGGUAUCGACCCCUGUAGUGCCGAAGCUAACGCAUUAAGUAUCCCGCCUGGGGAGUACGACCGCAAGGUUG
rnacentral:rRNA from 1 species